UCUGGUAAUGAUGGCAGAGAGGUCACACCCGUUCCCAUACCGAACACGGAAGUUAAGCUCUCUAGCGCCGAUGGUAGUUGGGACCUUGUCCCUGUGAGGUGAGAGUAGGACGUUGCCAGGC
rnacentral:rRNA from 1 species